UAAGUGUUUACACUAAGUAAACACCUUACCAAUUCAAUAUUGAUCAAGAGACAAAGCCUAUCAAUCAUCUAUAAUCAGUACGUUCAAUCAAGAAAUAUUCAUUCACUACUCAUCAAUCAUCUAUCUAGACUCACCUUUGAUUCUAUGAGAUUGGCUAAGGAAGACUAUACUCGAGCUCAAGCUAAUCACACUCGGCUUCUGGAAUAUUCUUGAUUUAAAAUCACCACAAGAAUCCGACUGAUCCGAACACUAUCCUUGACCAUCUGUACCAAUAACAUAACGGUUGGAACAACGGUUAAUCAGUCCGGUUCAAUCCCACAGUUCAAGACUCAGGACAGCUACUAAGGCAAGUUCAAGGCAGCUUCAGUUCGGUUCAAACAUAAAUCGUUUCAGCUAAGUUGUCUAGAUGCUAGGGGAAAAUGAACUGAACUAAUAUAAAUCCACACAAGGGAUUAAGAAAUUAAUCCAGAGAGGAAGAAAAACAACUCAGCCAGCUGGUUACAAUCUAAACUGAUCUGGAUCAAAAGGCAAAACAGUUUACCGGUUCAAAUCAAACACUGUGUGAACUUAACUGAUACUCCACUUUAAGAUGACGCCACGCCAAACCUAAUCAGUACCACAUCAAGAAAAUGUCGGACUCAAUCAGAACAAAACUGAACCGCAGUCAAUCCAACAGAAAUGCUCACAUAAAACUGAUCCACACAACAGCUUACAUCUUUACCGAUUAAAAUCAAAGGCUGAAGAACAUGGGUGAUUCUCAACUUCAGGACACCAAAUCUCCAACUCUUUACCACACAAAUACUCACUGAUUAAAGUCACAAGAUAGUGAGAAAGGGUCGUCCAAGCUCCCUUCUCUUCUCUUAUUUUUUUCUGAAUUUUUCAUGUAUUUUCCUCACAGAUUUUUCUCUCUUUCUUUCUCUUUUUCUCUCUGAAUUUUUCUUUCUUGUUUCUGAGAUGAAUGAGUUCGACCAGGAAGAGGACAAUGUAAUAAAUGACAGGGGAAACAGCAGGAGAAGAGUCAGCAAGAAAGGACAAAAGUUUCAGAUCAGUAUGAGACAUGUGGUGUGCUGAAUCACACUUUCCUUCCCAUGAAGUAAUGUCAUUUCCUUUCCAUGAAGAAACUUCAAGCAGGUGUGCAACUCACAUGACUUUAAUGUAGCAAGCAAGCUGGAAGGUGCAAGUCACAUGUUCAGGUCAGGAAGGAAGCAAGCAGCCAGGCAGCACAUGACAUGCACAUGACUCGCAAGCAACUGAAAGUAUUCAAGACCAGUUUUCGAUAAAAUGUUUCCCGUCCAUCGGUUCUCGUCCAGCUUAGAUAAAACUUGACCAUAAUAAUUAACACUUGGUCAGAACCAUUAAGAGUAGGUACUUUGUCCUCGAGACAGUCCCAUCAAGAAUAAUUUACCGGGUCGAUUUUUAUUUUUAAUUCUGGUCGAACCAACUCCGAACUGGUCGAGCGGGAUUUUUUAAUUCUGGUCGACCAAAAUCAUAUCCGCUCGUGAGGGUCUUUACAACCACCAUCACCACACUCGGACGAUCACCCCACCACCACUUGGACGACCACCACCACCACCACCGGCGGCUCGGCUAGCUCUCGGGGGGCUCGCGGCGAGGAGAGAGGAAGAUAUCCAACGGAAAGAGAAAAGAGAGGGAGAGAGAGAGAGAGAGGCGUGAGAGAAGAAGAGAGAAAAGGAAAAGAGAAGCUUGACGGCUAGGGUUUCCUAGUCUCUAUAAAUUCCUGCAGAGCUUCACUCAAGUUUCAGAAUGAGAGAAAAGUAAGAGGAGGCAGCUUCAUUUAUAGAAACAGGAGGAAACCUUAGGUCAUUUACCCUAAUGGGCUGCAGUCUUAAUGGGCUCUCCUUAAGAAAAUUUUGGGCUAGGAACCGGGACGUUACAAUAAUGCUUCUUAUGAAUAUGUCUGAGUAGUUCUUUUGUUAGAUUUAGGGUUCUUCAAGGGGUGAAUUAUGGUUUGCUAAAUUUAUAUUGUUGUUUGUGUGAUUUAAUUAUUUCUUCAUCUAGUUGUUCUUACUGCUAAGCUUAGGAUUGAUAACCCUAAACUUAUAUCUUGGAUUUACUUACGAGAGUUGGAUUCCUAGGUCUAAGCAUUAGAUAAUCUAUACAUACGAGAGUUGAUAGAUUAUAACUUAAGUUUAAGUUCGAGAACAGUUAAUAUUCUUAAAUCCCUGAUAAACCACAAGAAAAGAAACUUAUCAUACCUGAGAAUUUACCUGAAUCUAGCUAUUUACCUUUAAUUGUUUACAACCUCAAUCAACCAACCGAACAACUUCCCUGUUCAGCAAACUUUAGUCUAUUUACGGUUAAAAACAUUUCUAUCUAGCUUUACUUCAAAAACUACAAAUCUAUUGUGUAAUUCUAGAGUCUCUAUGGAUUCGAUCCCUAAGUACUACAACUGAACAUGUUAUUUGAGAGAGUAAAGUCACUCCUUAGGGUAACUUGAGUGAUAUCAAAUUUGGCACCAUUCCCAGGGACUCUUUCUUAUUACCAUUAGAUUAAGUUUUAGAAUAUAGUCUAGAUUUUAUUUCUUUGUGAGCUAAAAGUUUUGUUUCUUCUUCUCUCCCUGCUGAUACAUGUACUUUAGAAGAAUGUGUAUUUUGGAUGAGCAUCGAUCGGCAGUAUGAUAGACAUGUCAUUGACACCGAGCUUUUAGACGCGAUCGACAGUACUCUCCCAGAAGCAGGUAAGUCUUUACUUACUAAUUUGAACAAUGAGGAAGUAGUCCUAGGAGACCCAAAAGGUCAAAAAUGCAACACAACAAACCAAAUCAUUGAUGAACAGGGGGCUGCAAUCCCUGGUAAAAUUAACACAACUUUAUUUAAUGAGAAGAAAUAUAAAUUGCCAUUGCAAGACAACUUAGAUCCUAUAAAAACCUAUUCCAAUAGGUCAGAAAUUAAACUACCAGAAAACAACGUAAGAUCUGAGCUUAAUCUCGAUUUUCUUGUCCUGGUACGUCAAAUCCCAUUCCAUGGAUCCCCUUCGGAACAUCCGCAUAAUCACAUCGAAAAGCUGGAAGACAUGGUGGACGAUGACUACUGUCGCUGCAAGCUCUUCUCAUUUUCCCUCGCAGGAGAAGCCAUGAUAUGGCUGAAUCAGUUACCAGAUGGAUCCUUAACUUGCUGGAAAGAGAUUAGGAGCGCUUUCGUUAACAACUUCUUCGAUGAGGAAAGAUAUUGGGAAGCGAGAAAAAAUAUUUUAACAUUCUCGCAAGGUGCCCGUGAACCCUUCAAGGAUGCUGGGGGAAGAUUCCGGAGUUACCAACUUGAGUGCCCACACCAUGGUUUUCCUGAGAUUCAGCUGCUUAAUAUUUUCUGCAGUGGUCUUGAUUGGACAUACCAAGCAGUGGUCUUGAUUGGACAUACCAAGCAGUUUUAGACGCUGCAAGUCAAGGGAAUUUCAAACCAGGAGCCCUAAAGAAGCUACAAGGCUCAUUGAAAAUGUAGCGACUAGUACUAAUGCCAAGAAGACUGAUCUUAAAAGGAGGAAGAUGGCCGAGAAUUUGAAUGGAGAUCAAAUAUGUAAGAUAUUUGCUGAUCAGCAGAGAAACAUGAGCUUUACAAGAGGCUACGAGGCAGCACAUACUCACGAAGGCAGAGUGGAAUUUAUAUUUGGAGAAGUUUUGAAAGGCCAGCAGAAAAUGAGUGAGAAUUUCGAUGUAAGAUUGGAUUCCAUGUAUUCUAGUUUAAAUGAGAAGUUUGAAGGUUUCAGUGCUCAUCUUAAGAAAGUGGAUAGCCAAGUUGUGCAUUACGAUGGGCUUCUCAGCAGGGAAGAAGGACCUGGAAGAACUGACACUAAUCCAAGACAUCCAGUUAAUAUAGUUACAUUGAGAAGUGGAUGACAACUCACCCCACAUCUGAGAAAAGAAAUGGAGGAAUUAGAUCGAGCGGAAGUAUUGGAAGAAGUGCAACCCGAUCUUCAUGAAAAGGAAGCUGGAUCGCUCAUUGAUGAGAGUAUCGAUCUAC